rnacentral:rRNA from 1 species
UACGGAGGAUGCGAGCGUUAUCCGGAUUUAUUGGGUUUAAAGGGUGCGCAGGCGGGUCUUUAAGUUAGCGGUGAAAUGCCAAUGCUCAACAUUGGAACUGCCGUUGAAACUGGGGGUCUUGAGUGUGGAUGAAGUAGGCGGAAUUCGUUGUGUAGCGGUGACAUGCAUAGAUAUAACGAGGAACUCCGAUUGCGUAGGCAGCUUACUAAACCAUUACUGACGCUCAAGCACGAAAGCGUGGGGAUCAAACAGG